GACGAACGCUGGCGGCGUGCCUAAUACAUGCAAGUAGAACGCUGAAGGUGGAGCUUGCUUCUCUGGAUGAGUUGCGAACGGGUGAGUAACGCGUAGGUAACCUGCCUGGUAGCGGGGGAUAACUAUUGGAAACGAUAGCUAAUACCGCAUAAGAGUAGAUGUUGCAUGACAUUUGCUUAAAAGGUGCAAUUGCAUCACUACCAGAUGGACCUGCGUUGUAUUAGCUAGUUGGUGGGGUAACGGCUCACCAAGGCGACGAUACAUAGCCGACCUGAGAGGGUGAUCGGCCACACUGGGACUGAGACACGGCCCAGACUCCUACGGGGGGCAGCAGUAGGGAAUCUUCGGCAAUGGACGGAAGUCUGACCGAGCAACGCCGCGUGAGUGAAGAAGGUUUUCGGAUCGUAAAGCUCUGUUGUAAGAGAAGAACGAGUGUGAGAGUGGAAAGUUCACACUGUGACGGUAUCUUACCAGAAAGGGACGGCUAACUACGUG
rnacentral:rRNA from 1 species